rnacentral:ncRNA from 1 species
AAAAGAGGUCGCGAACUUUAUCAGUAACAUGACUUAGUCGGGAAAACGACGCAGGUGAUGUGAAAGGGAAGUUUGCCGAAGCAGCAACAUUUUUCCGUGUUGUGAGCUGGGGCCCAGUACAAGAUGCUGGGAACUGUCGUAGGAAAAAUUCCUACGGGGCGCUAUCG